rnacentral:lncRNA from 1 species
UCAGUGCUGUUCUCAUAAUAGUGAAUAAGUCUCACAAUUUCUGAUGGCUUUAUAAAGCGGAGUUCCCCAGCACAUGAGCUCUCUUGCCUGCCUACAUGUAAGACAUCACUUUGCUCCUCGUUGCCUUCCUCCAUGAUUGUGAGGCCUCCCCAGCCAUGUGGAACUGUGGCAGAAACCGUGAUUGUAUUUUUUUUUCUUUUUAUGUGCCCUGUUAAGCCUUGGAAAACAAAGAUAAAAUCUGAGCUUCCUGCAAGUUUUACCUACUCAGCCACUUACUUUCCAGGAUCCUUCAUCAUGAAAGCAAUUGUAUGGGGUAAGAGAUUGGAGUUAGUGCAGGAAACAAGAAAAGAUAAAACUAGAGCCUCACCAAGGGAACAGCCCCAGACCAGGUAUAUUGGGGGCAAGAGGAAGGCGUUAAAGAUGAAAUGGAGUUUAAAGACAAACAAGUUUUAGGUGCACAGUGACCAUGCAAUGCUCCAAAGCCAGGCGAGUAUGAUAUAACCCAUUAAAUUUUCUCUUGCUUUGGUUGUUAGGAAGCCGAAUAUUAUGCGUUUAUUGUUUAUUACCAUAAAUACCUCUGUGUGAACUCUGUUCCCAGGUAUACAAGAUGCAUGGCAGUGGUGGUUGGAGAAAAUUGCCAUGGGAUUGGCACAUGGAUUGGCACUGAGCACAGGGAUAUGAAACUUCAUGCUCAUGAUUGCAAUUCAGGAAGCCAAAGGGCAAAGGAAGUAUUGUAUGGGGUUUGUGAUCUAAGUAUUAAGAAACCAAAAUGCAAAUACUAAUAAACAUGGAACCAAAAAGACUUUAUGUAUGGAGCAGUGCAAAGCUGGUACAAGAGCUGUGAAUCCUCAAGAAUGCAACCUCUACUGUGGGAGAAAUUGAGGCCCUACAAGGUUAGAUGACUUGCUCAGGAUCAACAAUUGUUAAAUGUCAGAGCAGGGAUUCAGAACCAGGACAUAUGACUCCAAGUCUAAUAUUCAUUCCACCAUGUAUCACCGUGGCCUUUUCCUGUCUUGAGCCUACAUUAGAAUUGAAGUCUCAAAC